rnacentral:tRNA from 1 species
UCUAAAAUGGCAGAUUAGUGCAUUGGACUUAAACCUCAAACAUAAAUUUCUUAAUUUUUUUAGAA